GGGUGGAACGGCCUCUAGUGCAGAUCUUGGUGGCAGUAGCAAAUAUUCAAGUGAGAACCUUGAAGACUGAAGUGAGGAAAGGUUCCACGAUUACAGCAAUUGAACGUGGGUUAGCCGAUCCUAAGAGAUAGGGAAGUUCCGUAUGAAAGUGUGCGCUUGUUCGCACCGACCUAUCGAAAGGGAAACAGGUUAAAAUUCCUGUGCCGGGAUGUGGAUUUUUGGCGGCAACGCAAACAAACUAGGAGACGUCGGCGGAAGCCCUGGGGAGAGUUCUUUUCUUUUCUUAACGACGGGACCCACCUCGGAAUCAAUUUACUUGGAGAAGGGGUAGGUCUGUCGGCAGAGCUAGGUAUUUAUGCCUGGUCCG
rnacentral:rRNA from 1 species